rnacentral:sRNA from 1 species
UAUCCCCUGGUCUCCUUACCUAUUCCAACCUAAUGAUACAUGCAUCGUUUCUGGCUGGGGACGAGAAAAAGAUAAUGAAAGAGUCUUUUCACUUCAGUGGGGUGAAGUUAAACUAAUAAGCAACUGCUCUAAGUUUUACGGAAAUCGCUUCUAUGAAAAAGAAAUGGAAUGCGCAGGUAAGUGCCAAGUGGUUUAUCCAAGAUGUCAAGAUGUAUGUAUUUCCCCUAUCAAACAUCUCCUCCCACCACAUCAGCCCCCAUGCUUUGGGCCCUAAUUCCCUCCAUUUGGCCUUCUGGCUGUAGCACUCUCAAACACUUUCAGUCCCUUCCCUGUAGCUCAGGUUUCUUCCUCUAAUACUAUGAGGAAAAAUCCUCCUUAAGCGAUUCUAUAGCAGCACAGCAAGGUGACUAAGAGCACGACCUCUGGAACCAGACCUAGAUUUAUAUCCCAGCUUUUACUAAUUGCUAGUCAUGUGACCUUGAGCAGGUUUCUUCAUUUGUAAAAUUGAGGAUCAUAGAUAAGGCAUCUGAGAUGCAGAGCAGUUACAUAAUUUGUCCAAAGUCUUACAGACAAGAGGUGGUAUACCCAGGAUCAAAACUAAAUUACUUUUAAAUACAAAUUCAAGUUAUCUCAUCUCAAAUGAGAUGAGAUUUACUUCCAUUUGGAAGUAAAUUUUUCCCUCCAUGGAAAUCACAGCGCAUUUCUUACACCACGGACUCCUUUGAUAACAUGGUUAAGCUAAUUCUCCUGCCCAAUACAAUAGCAGCUCCUACUUUUGGAGGUGAUAC